rnacentral:rRNA from 1 species
AUGGCGAUCAUCCUGCUGCUCUUGCUCAGCUGCCUCACGCCGUUCCAGGAGGCGGCAGCCGAUGCGUUCUGCGACAACGUUAAGGUCCUCGCCGCCACCCUCCCCAACAAAACCUCCUCCUCCCCGGUACACUUCGCCACCACCACCGUCGGCCAAGCCCCUGACAUCGUCUACGCGCUCGCGCUCUGCCGUGGUGACAUUCUCAACGACACUGCCUGCUCCCAGAGCGUCGCCAACACGUUCGGCAUAGUGCGGAACGCCACGCCACCGGACAUGGAGUGCUACGGGGGAACCCGCUAUUAUGCCGAGUAUAGUAUCCUCCUCUACAACUUCAACGACAUCCUUGCUCCCUCAAUAUACACCAAUAGUACGGGAGAUGAAAACGGUGGCGACCCUCCCUUUGAGAGGUGGAACGUCAAGAACGUCACCGGCGACGUGCCCCUCGUCGCCGGCCUCAUCCGCGAGCUGCUGGUGGAGACCGUGGAGAAGGCAGCCAGCGCGACGCCGAGGCGGUUCGCCACGGGCGUCAUGGACAGCGGCACCACCUUCCCAAAGGUGUACUCGUUGGCGCAGUGCACGCCGGACUUGUCAACCGGGGACUGCCUGGCAUGCCUGAAUCAUCUCCUCGGCUUGAUCAACUCCACCAUGUCCCUGCGCAUGGGAGGACAGAUGGGCGUCAUACGGUGCUACUUCAGGUAUGAGGCGUCUCCGUUCUACCAAGGCCAGCCUAUGAUAAGCCUCGGGCCGCCGGCUCCGACUCCAGGCGAACACAAAACAUGUAUGUUCAUAUCAGGGCGCAUGAGCAAGCUGUGGAUAAUUGCCAUAGUUUUAGUACCUGUAGCGGCAGCAGCAUUUCUCUUUUUCAUCCUAUACUCUCGUCGUCUCACAAAGCAAAGAAAAGGUACACUGCUGAGAUUACAAGGAUCAAGACGUUCUCAAGAUUUGGAAGGAGAGGAAGAACUAGUUUGGCAAGGGGGGAAUUCAGAGUUCAUGGUGUUUGAUUUUGAACAGCUACUAGAGGCCACAAAUAAUUUUUCAGAAGAAAACAAACUUGGACAAGGUGGCUUUGGCCCUGUCUACAAGGGCAAGCUUACUGAUGGACUAGAGAUAGCAGUUAAGCGACUUGCUUCACAUUCUGGUCAAGGUUUCACAGAGUUCAAAAAUGAAGUCCAGCUCAUAGCCAAACUCCAGCACAGCAAUUUGGUUAGGCUUUUGGGAUGUUGCUAUCAAGACGAGGAGAAAAUAUUGGUGUAUGAAUACUUGCCAAACAAAAGCCCCAUGAGUACAGCUGUAUUCCAUGAAAAAAGAAGAGAAUUACUGGAAUGGUCGAAACUUGUUGCGAUAAUCGAAGGAAUAGCACAUGGACUGCUUUACCUACAUAAGCACUCCCGGUUGCGUGUCAUACAUCGAGAUCUGAAACCUAGCAACAUUCUGUUGGACAGUGAAAUGAAUCCAAAAAUUUCAGAUUUUGGGCUAGCAAAAAUAUUUAGCUCAAACACCGAAGGAAACACAACAACAAGAGUGGUUGGUACAUAUGGCUACAUGGCCCCUGAGUAUGCUUCACAGGGUGUCUUCUCUAUCAAGUCCGACGUCUUCAGCUUUGGUGUUAUUAUCUUUGAGAUCCUUAGUGGAAAACGGAAUUCUGGAAACCAACAAUAUGGAGAUUUCAUCAAUCUUCUUGGAUAUGCAUGGCAGUUAUGGGAUGAGGGAAGGUGGAUUGAUCUCGUUAGUUCAUCAUCGUUUUCCAAAAGUCACUCGACAAAGAUGAUGAGGUGCAUUAACAUAGCACUAUUGUGCGUACAAGAGAAUGCAGCCGAUCGACCAACUAUGGCUGAUGUUAUAGCUAUGCUAAGCAAUGAGGCUAUGAUCAUCGAUGAGCCUAAGCAGCCAGCAUAUUUCAAUGUGAGGGUAGGAAAUGAAGAGACAUCGACUGCUACAGAGUCAUGUAGUAUUAAUGAUAUGACCAUAUCAGCCACACUUCCUAGAUAA